CGCUGGACAGGAUGCAGCAUCUGGGGACCUGGGUUCUGGGGACGCAGUAUCCUCAAUCUCUGGGAAAAACAGAGUGGGAAAAAGAUGAAUGUGUUACGCAGGACAACCUCAACAAACUCCCAUCACACACAUGCACUGCAUGUCAGAGGGGCCCCUUUCACUCCACAUCACACACACAGAAUUCUUCAAAUGAUCAAGUGGAAUGAUGUCAUCUUCAGUCUCAUCUAAUGUGGUCCCUCAGGACAUAUGCCAGGCCUUAGAUGCAGAUUGAGUGUGUGUCUGCGGUAGAUGGGCUACCUGUAUGUCUUCCUAUAUAUGUGUGAGAGAAAAAAUACUCUUGAUUUAGGUCAGAAAUCAAGAACCUGAAAUUGGAUUAUUAAAUAUAUUUAAGUAUGCUGAGGACACACGCAAUGUAAGUACAAACACAUAUAUUUUACUUUGAAUUGAUAUUUUGCCUUUA
rnacentral:lncRNA from 1 species